rnacentral:rRNA from 1 species
AUGGAUCUGGCAGCCCAGCUCGAUCAGGAGAGGGUCAACGCGCACGGGCGCGCUCGCUGCAGAGUGCAGACGAACAAGUCUCGGCACCCGGGACGGCAACGGCGACGUGGGAUGCUCACGCCGACGAUGGCUUGGCGAAGCAGGGGAGACUCGGGCAGCGCACGGGGUAGAGGAAGCAGAGGCCGCAGUAGGCAGACUUGGCGGCAGCAGCAGGUCCCGAAGGGGUCGACGGGGCUUGGACGCGGGGCUCUGGCAAGGUUGGGGAGGUCCGGCGCGCGAGGAACGGCGCAUGGAAGGACGGUUGGGCACGGAUCCAUGGCGCAGGAAGGGGGCUCCAUGGCGGUUGCUGCUGUGCUGGUCGCCGGGCAGAGGACGGCAGAGCACAGCGAAGGGGCCGGGAACGGGCAGGUUGGCUGCGGGGGAGGACCUGAACGCCGGAAUCCGAAGGAGCGGCGACUUGGCGGAGGCCGGCCGGAUCUGGAGCAUGGCUGUGGCGGCUAG